AAACUAUUAUCGCACAAUAUAAUUCAUCACAAACGUGUUAACACGAAUGGAAUACACAACGAUGCUACAACAAAAUGUAAUCUCAUUCAAAUUCAACUCAAAUUGCAUCCAAAACAUCGCGAAAAUUCCUUCAAAUUGUCUCAAACAACAAGACACAAAAUUUUAAACUCAAUCAACAUUAAGGCCGAUACAAGUAUUCUCAUCACAAAUUUAUCAUUCAAAAUUGAACCCAAUGACAACAUUGACAAAGUUUAUUACAACUUUAUCACUACAAAAUCGAAUCAAAUACCAAAAUCCAAGGUUCACUCAAAUGUAACACGACUAAGCAUGGUAUCGCAAACGAACUUCAUCACAAUGCUUUAA